rnacentral:rRNA from 1 species
UUGAACGCUGGCGGCAUGCCUUACACAUGCAAGUCGAACGGUAACAGGUCUUCGGAUGCUGACGAGUGGCGAACGGGUGAGUAAUACAUCGGAACGUGCCUAGUAGUGGGGGAUAACUACUCGAAAGAGUAGCUAAUACCGCAUGAGAUCUACGGAUGAAAGCAGGGGACCUUCGGGCCUUGUGCUACUAGAGCGGCCGAUGGCAGAUUAGGUAGUUGGUGGGAUAAAAGCUUACCAAGCCGACGAUCUGUAGCUGGUCUGAGAGGACGACCAGCCAAACUGGGACUGAGACACGGCCCAGACUCCUACGGGAGGCAGCAGUGGGGAAUUUUGGACGAUGGGUGAAAGCCUGAUCCAGCAAUGCCGCGUGCAGGAUGAAGGCCUUCGGGUUGUAAACUGCUUUUGUACGGAACGAAAAAGCUCCUUCUAAUACAGGGGGCCCAUGACGGUACCGUAAGAAUAAGCACCGGCUAACUACGUGCCGGCCGCCGCAGUAAGAC